GAACGCUGGCGGCGUGCCUAAUACAUGCAAGUCGAACGCACAGCGAAAGGUGCUUGCACCUUUCAAGUGAGUGGCGAACGGGUGAGUAACACGUGGAUAACCUACCUCAAGGUUGGGGAUAACAUUUGGAAACAGAUGCUAAUACCGAAUAAAACUUAGUAUCGCAUGAUACAAGGUUAAAAGGCGCUACGGCGUCACCUAGAGAUGGAUCCGCGGUGCAUUAGUUAGUUGGUGGGGUAAAGGCCUACCAAGACAAUGAUGCAUAGCCGAGUUGAGAGACUGAUCGGCCACAUUGGGACUGAGACACGGCCCAAACUCCUACGGGAGGCUGCAGUAGGGAAUCUUCCACAAUGGGCGAAAGCCUGAUGGAGCAACGCCGCGUGUGUGAUGAAGGCUUUCGGGUCGUAAAGCACUGUUGUAUGGGAAGAACAGCUAGAGUAGGGAAUGACUUUAGUUUGACGGUACCAUACCAGAAAGGGACGGCUAAAUACGUGCCAGCAGCCGCGGUAAUACGUAUGUCCCGAGCGUUAUCCGGAUUUAUUGGGCGUAAAGCGAGCGCAGACGGUUGAUUAAGUCUGAUGUGAAAGCCCGGAGCUCAACUCCGGAAAGGCAUUGGAAACUGGUCAACUUGAGUGCAGUAGAGGUAAGUGGAACUCCAUGUGUAGCGGUGGAAUGCGUAGAUAUAUGGAAGAACACCAGCGGCGAAGGCGGCUUACUGGACUGUAACUGACGUUGAGGCUCGAAAGUGUGGGUAGCAAACAGGAUUAGAUACCCUGG
rnacentral:rRNA from 1 species